rnacentral:snoRNA from 1 species
CCCGUUCCUAGAGACCUUACAGAUACUGUUCCAUGUGCUUCAGUAGAUGGCAGAGAGGAGAGAGGCUAUGUCUGUGCUCAGUGUUCUGAACAGUGAACAUCUGAGGGACUAGCAGCCUGACAUU